rnacentral:rRNA from 1 species
CGUAACUGCAUGAUUGGACUUUAUUUGCGCAGCAUAGGUGGAAGGCAUUGAGAUUACUCUUGCGGGAGUAGUGGAGCCAUCAGUGAGAUACCACUCCUAUAAUGUUAGAUUUCUAACUUUGGAUCAUGAUCUGGUCAAAGAACAGUUUCAGGCGGGCAGUUUGACUGGGGCGGUCGCCUCCCAAAUGGUAACGGAGGCGUACAAAGGUUUCCUCUGAACGGGUAGAAAUCGUAUCUAGAGUGUAAAGGCAUAAGGAAGCUUGACUGUGAGACCUACAAGUCGAGCAGGGACGAAAGUCGGUCUUAGUGAUCUGACGGUGCUGAGUGGAACGGCCGUCCCUCAACGGAUAAAAGUUACUCUAGGGAUAACAGGCUGAAUC